rnacentral:rRNA from 1 species
GAUACGUCUUCAGAGUUUGAUCCUGGCUCAGGAUGAACGCUAGCUACAGGCUUAACACAUGCAAGUCGAGGGGAAACGGCGGAGGAGCUUGCUUCUUCGGACGGUCGACCGGCGCACGGGUGAGUAACACGUAUCCAACCUUCCGGUUACUCGGGGAUAGGCUUUCGAAAGAAAGAUUAAUACCCGAUGUUGCGUAUCUUUCUCCUGAAAGAUACGCCAAAGGAUUCCGGUAACCGAUGGGGAUGCGUUCCAUUAGGCAGUUGGCGGGGUAACGGCCCACCAAACCUUCGAUGGAUAGGGGUUCUGAGAGGAAGGUCCCCCACAUUGGAACUGAGACACGGUCCAA